rnacentral:lncRNA from 1 species
GGCUCCAAUAAUCACAUGGUCUCAACACCUUCCUUAUAGGUGAGCCGAGCAUCUAAUGCAUCUCCAGUUGUUCCUGGAAUAGCAAAAACAAACAAAAUGGUGCCCAAAUUCAUUGGGACCAAAGAGUUAGAAAACCAGCAAUACAUAGGACAAACUCCACAUACAUAUGUGCAUAUAGAUAUGAAUUUGAAUUUCAUGCACACUUUAGCCAAUUUAUGACAAGGUGGGGUUUCCCCUAUAUAUUGGGUCAAAGAAGGAAAGCAAGCAAAAUAAGUUGUAUAUAGUAGAUAUGAAUGCUCAAGACUCUCAAGAAUGAACUCAACACAAAGUUGAUAAGUCACCAAAAGACAAGGUAUCAAGUGAUAAUAAGAUCUUAAACAAAAAAAAGGAACUAUCACUUGAAGGAUAUUAAUUAAAAGAUACCUCAAGGAAUGAGAUAUCCAUUGACACAUGCCAAAUAAAAGGAAACAAGAAAUCAAUUGAAGGAAAACAAACACGAGGUAUCUAAUUUCCAAAAGAGAGCUAGGUUCCAACAAACCAAGCCCUCGACAAAUUUUCAUGAUGGCACAAAGCAUUAUAAAGUGCAAGACUUGCCUCCCAUCAACACACACUUGAUGGGGAUCAAAAUAUUUUAUGAUGGGUGAAUAAAGAGAGUGUUCUAAAGAAAAUAGGAUAGCUCCCCCAAGGGACGUGCAUUAUAUAGAAUUUGCAUUUAAAUACAAAAAUGCACACGAUGGGAUCAUCAUGUUCUCUAUAUAUAUAAAAACACUAGACAUGUUAAAAUAGAUCCAUAAGAGGCAAGGAAGACAAACGAAACACAAAAUCCAAUGUAAAGACGAUUAGCAAUUCCUAUCACAUGAUGGGAAUACCAAUUGUCAAGGGCAAAAAGUAUUUUGGAAGUGAUACUCAUUGGUAGAUCGCAAAUAUAUCCAAGAUCAUCUUUACCCAUAAAACGCAAGCAAAUGACACUUGUAGAGCUAACAUGCCACCUAGGAACAAGAUAAUUUACAAUAUCAACACUAAGUGGCAACACCUCAAAUGUACACAUUUUCUAGGUUUGUAAUAUGCACAUAGCAUAUUACUCCCCCAUAAUGUGAUAAACCAACAAUAUUAACAAGUGGCAAAUUGAAACCAACAAGAGAUAAUUAAUGGACCAUAUAGAAUUUGAAUUUCUCAUGAGUAAGACAUACCACAUAGAAACUAGAUAAUCUUGAAAUAUCAAAACUAAGUGGUAUUCCCCAUGUAUACACAUUUAUAGGAUUGUGAGGUGUGCAAAGCACAUCACUCCCCCACAAUGAGAUAAUCCAUUAGUCUCUCACAAGAGCCAACAAAAAUACAAACAGGAUGCAAAAGGCUCAAUACAAGACCCACAUGUACAUGAUAUGCAAACCAACAUACACAUACUCGAUUACUCAAGAUAAGCAAGUUGGAAGCACAACAUAUACAAACGUAUGCAAGGUACAAAACCACAACAUGCAAAGGGGCAAGCACCUAAACAAUGUAAACAGUUGAAGUACAAGUUACCGUAAGGAGGCACAUUGGAUAUAAGAUAGAAACUCGAUAAUCCAACUGACUUAGCUUGAGAUGAUAUGAAUGAUGAAUACCCCUUAAUUCUUCAUUAUGUAUCCAAGUCUCUAAUGUCCUCCAUAGUCACCUAUUGAUCAAGUUUGAGCUUGUUCGUCCCCAACUACGUUGGGUCCUAAGAGGUUAAUCACAAUAGGCUUGGCAACCCAAAUGGUUCUUUUCUUGACACCAUUUUGAGUACCAACAAACUAGGCAAACACAUUACCAACCUUAUCCUUCCCAAGGGAAUAGAUAUCAUCAAUAGUGAUUGGGUUGGAUAAGUUACCUCUUGUGCAAGACGAAGCGACGUGACCCUUCUCACGACAUAAGUAGCAACAUCUACCCUUUGCUUUCUUCCCAGUUGAUUUCUCACCUCGGGGAGUGUUGGCUUGGGUCUUAUUGGGAAGAGGCCUACCUUCAACUUGUAGCUGAAUAUGUGAUUGAGUUUGUGGCCGCUUCCCUUGUUGCUUGUGACUUUGAGACUUCGUCUUCAGAGGGCAAGAUCUAACAUGGUGCCCUUUAACUUUGCACUUGAAGCAAAUGAUUUUGGCCGAACUCUUGACUUGUUCUAGGCCCCUCUUGUUCUUGUUUGAGUUUACUCCAACAUCAUUUUUGUCAUUCGGAGAUGUUUGCUCACACAUGACGUUGUUGAGUGUGGACAUCCCUUCAUGACACUGUUCCAAGUCUUUCUUCAAAGAAGUGACUUGGGCCUUGAGCUCUUCGAUUUCCUCUCACGGUUAGUAUGAAUGCAAUUACUAGAGGAAGUGUAAGCUUCAAUGUUAGAGCAACAAGGCAAGGAAAGUAAUUCAUCACACGAGGUAGCAACAUUAUGAGUAGACGAAUUACGAGGACUAGCACAUGGAAAUAUAGUACUUUGACUAGAAGUAGUUCCAUUGUCCACAUGAGGCUCACUUGAUGUUACCUUGGUGAUGAUAGCCUCAUGAGCUAACUUUUGCACAUUAUGGGAUGUUAGAAGAUCGGCAUGAGAGCUUGUGAGCAUUACAUGGUUUUCUUCCAACUUCCCACAAUUGCUAGUUAGUAAAUCAAGUUGAGCACGUAGCUCAACAUUCUCCUUCAAUGUUGAUACUUCAAAAGAGAUAGGGUUAGGUGUACAAGUAUCAUCAACAAUAUGAGAGGAGUAAGUAGCGAUUAGAGACUUAUCAUGAGUAGAUUGAAGCUCCUCAUAGAUCUUAGAGGUUUUGACGAGCUCUCCCUUGACAUUCUUGCAUUCAAGGAGAAGGACCUCAAAAUCCCUUUUAAGUUUAUCAUGAGUAACUUCAAUCUCUCCUUUUGAAGAUCUUAAGUCUCUACAUGCUUGAUGACUCUUCUCAAGUUCAUGUUCAAGUUGUUCACUUUUAGCUUGUUCAUGAUUAAGUGAAUCAUUACACUUUUCUAAGUAAGCAAGAACAUCUUGGAACCUUUGAAGAGCGUUAUUUUUAGCUUUAUGAAGAAUUUUACUGAUCACAUAUAUAUUUUCAGUCAAGGCAUCAUCAUCAUCCUCAUUGCAAAUAUCAUCGUUAUUGCACAGGGAAGAUGAUACCUCAUUAUUACCUCUUGCCAUGAGGCACAUGUGAACUGGAGGAGUUGAUGAUGAUUCUUUUGGUGAAUCAGAUUCUUCAUUAGUCAAAAGUACUUCAUAUUUCUUGAUUUCCCCUAAAUGAUUAGUCAUAGAACAACUAGGGAGAAACAAGAUAUUUUGAUCAAGAGGACACGGGAGAGCAGGCAUAUCACCACAGACAUUUGUCGAGGGAUCUUUAGGUGAAAUGCAUGACCUAUCAGCACAAUAAUUUACACUAUGUGUGGUGCUAGAUAUGCUCAUGUCCAUAGAGGCUAUGCCAUUUUCAUCAACAUAUAUUUCUUCACUCACCAUGUCAUUACCUUGUGAGAUUGAAGAUGCUGAGGUGUGCAAGCAAUCGGAUAUGGAAGUAGUGGUGGACUCUUUAUGACCGAAAAGAGUGAAGAGCUCAUGCACCAUCUCCUUCAUCAUAAUAUCUUCUUCAUCAAGAUUGGACCCUCCAUAUAUAUCUUCAAGUUUAGUCCAAACUUCAUGAGCUGACUUGCAAGUCGAGAUAGACUUAAACACUUCAGGACUUAUGGUUCGAUGAAUGGCAAGAAAAGCCUCACAAUCAAGAUACAUUUCAUUAGUAGAUGAAGAUGCAUCAUCCUUUUUGUCGGCAAUCCCUACAAGAACAAUUCGUAAAGUAUUUGGGCCCAUGGCCCGAAAGUGAUGAAGCAUACGGAUUCUCCAUAGGGUAUAAUUUGUGCCAUCAAAGUCAAAGGUGUCAUUGUGCACUAAUCCAAUAGUCGACAUCAAUACUCUCUAGGUCGUGAAACCUAAUUAAAGAGAGAUCUUGCUCUGAUACCAAUUGAAAAGACCUCGAUGACGCCUAGAGGGGGGGGGUGAAUAGGCUAUUUAAAAACUUCUUCGGAUUUGGCUUGAACCUAAUGCGAAAAAUAAACUAAGAGGGUACUUGUCAAGCACAAAUCCUAAAUGUACUAGGCACUGCAACUUGUAUCAACAACACGAUCUACCAAGAUGGACACAAUACAGUUACUAACAAGCACAAGUAAGUUACACAAACUUACUUGAGCUAUGUCACACGACAAGUAGGUGAACGACACAAGAUACUAGAUCACACUAUAUCACACGAUAUAUCAAAAGCUGCAAGUGUGAACGUGUGGAUAUAGAGGGUAUGCUUGAAUGAUUAAUCUUGUACAAGAAAUAGCCAACACAAUAUAAUGAGCACAACCAAUAUGCAAUGUAUGUAUGGUCAAGUAACACAAGUAAACCACAAGUAAGGAGUUAGGGUUAAGGAUAACCAAGGUCACUGAGACGAAGAUGUAUCCCGAUGUUCACUUCCUUGGAGGUAAGCUAGUCACCGUUAGAGAGGUGGAUGUUACCACGAAGGCACACCAACGCCACGAAGGCUCACCCUAUUCUCCCUUUGAGAUAACACCACGAAGGCGUUUCUCAACCACUAGUGGUAAGCCUUUGAGGUGGCCUCCAAACCCUCACAAACUUUUCCGGGGGUAAUCACACGAAUUGAUUCCUCUCCGAAGAACUCCUACCGCCUAGGAGUCUCCAACCUCCAAGAGUAAGAAGAUCACGGGGAAUUCUCAAAACUUGCUCAAAUCUCAAAUAGCUUGGGUUAAGAGGAGGAGAGGGAGACGAUCUAUCUUUUGAUUGGAACAACUCUCAAAGGGGCUCACAAAUGCUCUUGGGAUCUAAGAUUUGGUGUGAGCAAAUGUGUGUGAGGUAGAAAUGUGUUCUUAUGAGGAUAAGGCUGUGUUGGGCACCCUCCCACGAAGUGGGAGGGGGUAUUAUAGUGGGGAGAGAAAAACAGCCGUUGGGGACACUUUAAGUCACAGAGGGGUCGGACAUCCGGCAGUUCACGGAUGUCCGGGCGUCCACAAGGGGUCGGACGUCCGACAGCGGUCGGACGUCCGAGGGCUGUAAAUAUAUCUGGAACCACUGUGGAGUUGAACAGGGACCGGACGUCCGGAGAAGGCCGAAAGUCCGAGUUAUUCGACUCAAACUUCUCUGGUGCAAGAUUCCGGAUUUCCGAAAGGGGACGGACGUCCGGCCCUCGGACGCCCGGAGGGAGCCGGAAGUCCGAGUUAUAUGUCUCAAGUUUCUCUGGUGCAAAGCUGCGGAUUUCCGAAGCUGGUCGGACGUCCGGCCCUCGGACGUCCGGAAGGAGCCGGAUGUCCGAGUUAUAUGGCUCAAGUUUCUCUGGUGCAUAGUUUCGGAUUUCCGAAGCUGGUCGGACGUCCGGGCCUCGGACGUUUGGAGGAGGCCGGAUGUCCGGGCCUCGGACGUCCCGAGGAGGCAGGAUGUGCGAGGCACUCGUCCUGUUUUCUGAUAACAGCAGAGCAUCGGAGAUGUGGUAAGAGCAGAACAGUGGAUAUCUAGUUUGAGCAAGUUCAUCACAAAACCUGUGAUCCCCUCUUAAUAGUGCAGGAUCCCUAAAGACUCAAGAAUUAUAAACGGGGUACCGAUGAUCCAUACUUGAGUGUAUACUUUUAUUCCCUGAUCAUCACUCCGCACCACUAACGUCAAAGGAACUGAUACCUUUGAGUUAGCCCUUUCACUUGAGCUUGAUGUUGUUGUUCCUUCUUGUCUCAAGUUGAAAACAAGACAUGAUGAAGUCUUCAAGCAGCUCUCCCAUCACUACAAGGAAUAUGCUAAUACACGACGCUAUUUUUUCGUCGCUACAUCGUCACGGUUUUUAAUUUACGGUGAUCUCACGACGAAAAACCAAGCGUCGAAAACGGAGCGUCAGAAAUGAACAGCAACGACGUUUUGAACAAAAUCGUCGUAACUUUUACGACGAUUCUUGGAUUGUCGUAACCUUUACGACGAUCCUAAAUCAUCGUUGGCAAUCAAACCCAGUCCUACGUGGCAAAAUUACGAUGAAAUCAAAACGUCAUGGUUGAAAUCAGCCCAACCCAUUUCAAUUGAUCAGAUGGGCUGAUUUUAUUAUUUUAGGCUUUUUUAUUGGGCUUCUUUUUGGGCCUUAGCCUAUUUAUAGCCACUUUGAAUUUUAUUUUUUUCGAAUUUUAGUUUAUGGCCUUUUACUUUCUAUUGAUUUUUUUGGCCAUUUUAUUUUUGUACUGGUCCAACAUGUCAUGGUGAUCUCAAAGUUUUGGCAAAUUUUGGGCCUCGAGAUUUUUACAUUUUGAUCUGUAGCAUUAUGAAGGCACAAAUAUAUCUGAUCCAAUACAGGUGAGAGCACAAACUUAGAAUCAACCUAAAUUUAAUACUAAUAUAUUGUCUUUGACCAUUUUCAAUCCAAGAAUGAAUUUCAAAUAUAACUAAGAACACAUAAAAUUGAUCAAAUAUAUGACUAAAUAAAUCUAUUACAAUCUUUACAACACAGAUGUGCUACAAUAUGCUACUCUAAACCGAGUAAAACUUCACAGCUUCACAGAUGUGCUACAAUAUGCCACGGAAUCGGUCGAUGUACGGGUUCACGGUCCGCCCGAUCUUCGCCCACGCGCUCUGGUGGUAGCUGGAUGUCACAGGCGCGCGGUACAUCAUCUUCAGCACCUGAAUAAUAACAGACGAGCAAGCCAGGAAAAACGACCAGUAAGUGAAGAUGCAUUGGAAAAGCAACUAUCCGCAUAACAAAGUUGCAGGUGCUAAAGGAAGUGCCGCUAGCUGAAGAUUGAUGGUUGUUAGGUUGUUAGGUGUACACUCAGCAAUGGCUUGAAACAUGCCACAAAACACAUCAAAUUGUGCCUCAUGUUAUUCCCCAGCUAUGUAGUGAAUGCAUGGAAGCAGUAAGAACAUAUAUAAAGAUCAGAUGUGCAGAAGAUAACUUACGUUCCAGUACAUGAAUGUCUGCAUGAAGUUGCGCCGCCACCUGCAAGAUAACAAGGUGUUGUAAGUCAUAAGAUGCAUUAACUAAGAUGAAAUAAAGUCUCCAUGAUUCCAAGGGAAAUCAGAUCAACAUACAAGAACAGCGAUAUGAUCAGAAGAAACCCCAAGGCAAGUUCGGCAUUUGAGCUAAGAAGGCUGAGCGUGGUGUUGUUUGUCUCCACCCAAAGGCAAGGCUCUUCCAAGUAUCCCCUAAACAACAUAACAGAAAUUCAGAGAUAAUUCGACAGAUAACUACAGGGCAGUGGAGACUGGUUGCGCCGCAAACUACACAAAUGAAUUUCAGAGAUAGUUCGACAGAUAACUACCUAUAGAAAGACGAGCGAGAAAAGUUACGCCUUAGGAAUCUGGCAACAUGAUAAAGCGCCCAACAGAACACAGGUAGGGCAGCAACUGUGAAAUAAAAAAAGAAGAUCAAAACUUCUAAAACAUAUAUAUGGAAGUUUCAGAAAACAGAUAUCAGAAUCAUGAACUUGCAAGAGAAAAGCUAUAUAUUACUCUUUAAGUGCAGCUGAGAUGUGACGAGCAACAGAGAGAACAUUAAAUGGAUAAAAUCCUUGGCUCCAAGUACUGACUGCAACCAACUCUGAAUUGCAGGCAUGUUCAAUUCUCUUGGUUUCUUCAUGCACAACAGGAAAAAAGGUGAAUUAGAUCAACUGGGUCAUCAGGGCGAGAAACACAACAAAAAUAGGAUGGACCAUUCAAGGUUCAGGUAGGAAGGUAUUUUACCCCAUAAGUACUGUAUAAAGAGUAUCCUGAGGAGAGGACUGUUCCCAGCAAUGAAAGCUUGCAAGCUCUGUCUGCAAGAUGUUUUGGCAAGAUCGGAAGCAUUCCCAGACCAACAACAACCAGUACCUGAUCAGAUGGAAAAGUUUGAGCAUGUCAUGUUCAACUACAGUGCACCAACAAGCAAGAGAUAAAGGUAAGAACAAGGGUAACAUGCACAAGUGAUGUAAGGAAACCAUUGUGAUAGCAUUUAUAUAUAAGAGAUGAUUUUCCAAUGCAGAAUGAAGGUGUUGAUAAGGAGAAGACUAAAAAGGGAGAUGCCAUGUCAGGUUGUCUGCAAGGAUCGCCGUAAUUGUAGGAGCAAACUAGGUUGUCCACAAGGACCGUCGUAAUUGUAGGAGCAAACUAGGCUGUCCACAAGGACCGCCGUAAUUGUAGGAGCAAACUAGGCUGUCCACAAGGACCGCCGUAAUUGUAGGAGCAAUCAGAACCAAUGAAUUUGCUCCUUUCAGCAAAUAUUACACAAUUAUGCAUUCAUACAGUGAAGAGAAAGGUGUCUUCUUCCUUACCCAGGCAUUUACAGAGAAAUGUAUAGUCCGUGCAUCGAAACGUAAAGGAUUUGCAGCCCCGGCUUGUGGUGCUGCUGGUGGCGGGGCAGCUGAUCUGGAACUAGAACCUACACACAUGAUAUUGAUAUGUAUGAACUCAGGUGUCAAACACAGUCCAUGAAAUCGUUGGAUCUUAUAUGGCUAGUAAAAGUGCAGUAUGUUUUACCUGAAUUGCGAGCCCUGACAUUCUCACUGGAUGCUGAAGGUGAAGACCUUAUGCCUGGCCUGCUCGGCUGAGUGCAACCAGUGGUUGACAUAGGCUCGACCACCAAAUCACGAUCCUAUCAAGUCAAGAAAGCACACCAAACAGAUUUAGAUAUUAUGAUGCUUUGCAGGAUUGUAAAGACUGUUGCUAGUAUUUCCGUGACGGCAACAUGAGAGUUCUAACUGUAUAUUGUGCCUGAAAUUUCCCCAUCAUUUUGGAAGGUGGGGAUCCAGAAUUUUUCACAGAUACUGUAUGAACGCCUAUUCAGAAUAUUUGGUAGUACUGGAUUUUUAAUGUUACUGAUAAACUUGGUGAAAUUUGUAAUCUGUCAGUAUGAAUUCAACUCAGUAUGAAUUCCUAUUCAUGAACCUUAAAACAAUGAGAUAAGAGUACCUGACUUCCCUUUGAAUGUUAGAGUAUUUGUGGUGGUGGCGUGAGGCUGGGUGCUAGUCCAGACAGUUUCAGGAUUCAGCCUCAGCAAAAUGCAAUGUUUUAAAAGAUACAUUACAUAGUGAAGCAUUCUCUCACAGCAAUAAGAUUCAUUAAUCUCUUCUUUUUAUAUGAUCGGUCCAUGUUAGUAGAUACGGCCAAAAUUUUAUUCUAAUAAUGUUUAGACCAUACCAGAAGCCCAUUUGUUCGGUUGUAACCUGAGUGUGUUUUAGCACGAAUAGGAUGAUGUGUAGAAGACUCACGGGUAUUAGAUCAAAGGUGACCACCUCAGGUUGUGAAUUAUGGCUAACAAUAAACUGAAAAUAAAAGCAUACAAAUAUGAAUGUAGACAGCAAUAACCUCUGAUAGAAAGUUGGACAACACUUACCCAUGCGUAAUAGAAAAACCUCUAUUAAGACAUUGUCCACUCAUUACUGUAAACAUCUAUCAGGCCAUUGUGUGACUCAUUACUGUAAACGGUCGAUUGAUGUACUGAAUUAGCUCAUCAAAAGCAACAUGACAACAAUGGAAAUAUUGUAUCAAUUCACAAGUUCACAUAUGAACACCAAGUGAAACAGAAAUGAGUGAGUGAUGGGAUCAAAUUCACUUGGCUGAACAGAUGUACUAGAGAUGGAGAACAAUUGUUUACCCAGUACACCCCAAAUACGGGCCUCCUUCAUGCAGCAAAAGCCCCUGAUCCUUUUUUCCAAGCAGUAAGGCCACAACUGACAGUAGCGACACACAGAACGACCCGCGAAAGGCAAAGAAAGAGAGCGAAGCAGCCUAGCAAGAUUUGAGGACAACGAGGUAGCUGUUGCCGAUCCCGGCCCCCACGCGGCCGACGAUGUGGAGACGGCCGUCGGAGGCCUCGAAGACGUCGCGGCCGACAUUGGUGCCCGACCGCACGACGAGCGCGAAACCCAACUUCUCGGCCACGAGUGCCAUGGGUUUGCCCUCGACAGCCACCGCAUCGGAAGCGGGCGCGGACAAACAAGUAUGGCUCUAUUGAACAGAGCAGGGUAAUGAGUGCAACUGAUAAUGAUUGGAUAAAGAAGUUUCAACUACCUAAUAGGUUUGUACACCAAACUUGACACGGGCACAACUCACCCUGAAGUUGACAAGGUUACCGCAAUAUGGUUUUUGAUGAAGCUCAAACAUUUCACGUCAAUGAUGUUAGUAUUAUGUCAGAGCAAGAUUUUAUAUAUACUUAAACUUGUUUCUAGUUUAUCUUCAAGAUCACAGUUGGCGACUUGAUUUCGCACAAGGAGCAUGGGAAAUUAUUUUCAAGAANNNNNNNNNNNNNNNNNNNNNNNNNNNNNNNNNNNNNNNNNNNNNNNNNNNNNNNNNNNNNNNNNNNNNNNNNNNNNNNNNNNNNNNNNNNNNNNNNNNNUCACUAUAGGGCGAAUUCAUCAUGUCUUGCUUUCAACUUGAGGCAAGAAGGAACAACAACAUCAAGCUCAAGUGAAAGGGUUAACUCAAAGGUAUCAGUUCCUUUGACGUUAGUGGUGCGGAGUGAUGAUCAGCGAAUAAAAGUAUACACUCAAGUAUGGAUCAUCGGUACCCCUUUUAUAAUUCUUGAGUCUUUAGGGAUCCUGCACUAUUAAGAGGGGAUCACAGGUUUUGUGAUGAACUUUCUCAAACUAGAUAUCCACUGUUCUGCUCUUACCACAUCUCCGCUGCUCUGCUGUUAUCAGAAAACAGGACCAGUGCCUCGCACAUCCUGCCUCCUCGGGACAUCCGAGGCCCGGACGUCCGAGGGCCGGACGUCCGACCAGCUUCGGAAAUCCGGAACUAUGCACCAGAGAAACUUGAGCCAUAUAACUCGGACAUCCGGCUCCCUCCGGACGUCCGAGGGCCGGACGUCCGACCAGCUUCGGAAAUCUGGAGCUUUGCACCAGAGAAACUUGAGCCAUAUAACUCGGACUUCCGGCUCCCUCCGGACGCCCGAGGGCCGGACGUCCGUCCCCUUUCGGAAAUCCGGAAUCUUGCACCAGAGAAGUUUGAGUCGAAUAACUCGGACUUUCGGCCUUCUCCGGACGUCCGGUCCCUGUUCAACUCCACAGUGGUUCCAGAUAUAUUUACAGCCCUCGGACGUCCGACCCCUUGUGGACGCCCGGACAUCCGUGAACUGCCGGAUGUCCGACCCCUGUGUGACUUAAAGUGUCCCCAACGGUCGUUUUUCUCUCCCACUAUAAAUACCCCCCUCCCACUUCGUGGGAGGGUGCCCAAGAUGCGACCCUAUCCUCAAUUUGGCACGAGGGCCUCGUCAGGGAUAGAAGCGCAUCUCGUCGUGUCGCAAGAAUGGAUAUCGUUACAAGUACAUGUACUGAAAAGAAGAGAUAUAUAGAAUUGGCUUACACUCGCCACAAGCUACAUCAGAGUCACAUCAGUACAUUACAUAAUCAUCACGAGUAAGAGGAGGGUCCGACUACGGACGAAAACAAACGACAAAAGAAGAACGACGUCCAUCCUUGCUAUCCCACGCUGCCGCCUGGAACCCAUCCUAGAUCCCAAGAAGAAGAAGCAACUCCAAAUGAACAAUCAACGUGCUCGCGUCAAGUAACCUUUACCUGUACCUGCAACUGGUGUUGUAGUAAUCUGUGAGCCACAGGGGACUCAGCAAUCUCAUUUCCAAAGGUAUCAAGACUAGCAAAGCUUAAUGGGGAGGUAUGGUUAAGUGGUGAGGUUGCAGCAGCGACUAAGCAUAUAUUUGGUGGCUAAUCUUACGAGUACCAGAAAUAAGAGGGGGAAGAUCUACGCUUAGCAGACGUGUCUACUGAUGAUCAAAAGAUGAUCCUGAACACCUACCUACGUCAGACAAAACCCCACCGUGUCCUCGAUCGGAGAAGGAACUCACGAAAGAGACAGUCACGGUUACGCACACAGUUGGCAAGUUUUAAUUAAAUUAACUUCAAGUUAUCUAGAACCAGUGUUAAACAAAGUUUCCACGUUGCCACAUAACCGCGGGCACGGCUUUCCGAAAGAUUUAACCGUGCAGGGGUGCUCCAACUAGUCCAUCACAAAUUACCACAAGCCGCAUAGAAAUCCUCAAUCACGAAGCUCGCGAUCUCGUCGAAUUCCCUAGUGGAAAACCUCAACUCUGAGAUUACCCAAAGCAUCACCGGAAUCCCGAUGCACAAGAUAUCUCGUCAAAGGUAAAACUAAUCCAGCAAGGCCACCCGAUGUGUCGACGAACCCGAUAGGAGCCGCGUAUCUCGUUCUCAGGACACACCGUCUAUGCAAAGUGGACGGGAACCAAACCUCGAGUUGCCCCGUGGUGGCACCGCCGACUGCUAGGUGGGUGGACCAACACUCAUGAGGAGAACUGGCCCGGGGGUUGAUUAAUUUAGUCCGCGGGUGCCGGCGGGUCCCUAUGCAUUAUUAUUAGGUGAUUAGGCAAAUGUAGUAUCAAUGUUGGGCCUUGCCAGACCAGCUUUAAUCUAAAACGAAUUAUCAAGGGGGUCCCCAUAACAACCCCGAUCGUGUUAGGAGCGCUCGAUUAUGGAACAUAACACCGGUAGCCGGUAACUAAAGGGGGCAAAGGUGGAACAAAACACCAGGCAAGAAAGGCCGAGCCUUCCACCUUUUACCAAGUAUAUAGGUGCAUUAAAUUAAAUAGAAUUUAAAUAUGGUGAUAUAACAAGGAACCCAUGUUUUCACAUGGAAGCAACUGCACCUGCAACUAGCAACGCUAACACAGGGUUAAGCAAGCAGUAACAUAGCCAAUCAGUGAUUUGCUAGGUCGAACAGGUUGAAGGUAAUCAUGGCAUUGUUGAGAGGCUGAUAUUUAACAUGUGGUAGGCAACGAGACAUAAAUGAUAGCAACGGUAAACUAGCAUGACAAUGAUAGUAAUGGUAUCUGGGGAAAUGAUCAUCUUGCCUGAGAUCCCGCUUGGAAGAAGAAUGCCUCCGUGAAGUAGACGAACCGACGUAGUCGAACGGGUCCUCACAAUCCGGCAUGCUGCGGAACUGUAUCGAGACGAAGCAAACCGGAAACACAAAUCAACACACGAAAUUCACCACACGAUGCACACCACAUAUGAUGCAUGAGCUACUGAAUACAUGCAAGUCACGGCAUGACAAAUCACACAAUCAAACACUACACAUUAAGUGAAGCUCAAUAUGCACGAGUUGCCUAUUAACGAAACUCCACGUUAAUUAUUUAGUUCACUCCCGGUUAUUUACACGGCAAUAUUAAUGUUGUCAAACAUGCAAGAGGUGAAGCGGAAAUUAACCUACCUAUCUAGACAUUUUAAAUGAGGUCGGAGAUGACAUAUAGCACCUCCGAAAUGACCUCACAUGGUAAUUUUCAAUUCUGUCCAGAUCUGAUUUAACACCUUUAAUUAGUUGUUAAACAGAAAAACAAAUAGUUUCACGUGAUUCUACGCGUCAAGGCAAGAAAUCUACACAUAAAGAACAUCUCCAACGGAGCUACGGUUCAAAAGAUACAAGCACCGCAAGAUAUGAUGGCAUGAAUGCAAAAUGUGUGCAACGACGGUCACGAGUACUUCAAAACAUACAAACAGCAAGAGAACAUGAAACUACACGAGAUUCUAAGCAAGUUUCAUGUAGGACACGAUCGAAUCGGAGCUACGGUUCAAAACCUACGAGCAGUACUAGAAAUCACUACAAGCUGCCAAAAUCAGCCACAUAGCACUUUCUACGCCCCACAACUACGAGCUACACAACUCCGAUAAACGCAAGCAAGGCAUGGCACGAAAGAGGGCAAGACGCUCUACUACAAACAACUAACAACAACGAGUAUGGCAGCAAGGAGCACUAGGAAAAGAAGACACCAAAUGGCAUCUCACACACCAUUUCAGACUUAGUGAAAAUUACACCUCAUGAAAGUGCAGUUUUCGAUCUGAAGCAAUAUUGACAGCAGCAAAACCUAUAGCUACAUGACUCCAAAUAGCAUGAAACUUCACAGCAUGUUAGAGAAACACAAGGGGUACAACUAACUCCAUUGGACCAGCCUCAAAAGAGCUACAGAUCACAAGAUGCAAGAAAGACAAGACAGCAACAAAUUAUAACAGAUUCCAGACUUAGAAAUAUUUCAGCUCCUCCAAAUCAGCACUAUUUCUAGCAACUUGAGAGCAAGCAAACAACACCUAAACAUGCAUUUCUAUUGCAACCAAAAAUACCAGGGGCUAAACAAAACAUCCAAGAUCAACUCUCCAGUUGACAACUCCGUCAAACGACGCACGGAAUAAAUCCUACAAUUAAACAAAAGAGCAACAUAGCAAAAUAUCUCGCGAACUAACUUCCUCAAAAGCUAAAACUAAUUGCACAGAAAAAUCCAUGGGAUUUUUCUACCCCGGAAACAUAUAAAAUAUGUGGGGUUUGCAACACAAAAUAAUGCCACACAUUAAUGCGAGAAAAAAUUACCUAUAUACGGGAAAAUAAUCUACCGGCAAUCCAUACACGCAAAAAUACAAAUGACUGGUCUAAAAUACAUGGAUAAAUAGUCCCUAAAACAUAGGCAUUUUAUCUAAGGCACUCGAGCAACCCGGUCUUGCACGAAAAAUAAAUACGAGUCGAAACCUAUUAGGACAGCACGCUUAUCUAGGCAACCAGCACGCUAAACGACGUCAAAUAAUUAUGCAUGUUUCAAAAUCAUAUUCUACGCGUGAAACUACCACAAAACCAUAUAUAAUACGCGUCGUUCCGACUUACGGAUAAAAAGUUACGGGGUUUUUAUUAAACGUCUAAUUCCUGAAAUUAACUAAACCGAAGAAAAAAUCCCUAAGGAAAAAAAUAAACUACCAGGCCGAAUCAUGUGGCGCAUUUUAGCUAAGGCAUGCGCGGGCGUAAAACAGAGGGGUCUGGAGGUUUUCUCACCUCGGGCUCAAGGCCUGCGGGAGGGGAGGCAGCCCAGGGCGAAGUGGGCCUCGGGAGGCGGUGCGCAUGCUGGGCCUCGCGUGGCCAGGCCGGCCCACGGGGCGAGGAGGCAGCAUCUCCCAUCUCUCUGCUCGUUCCCGAGCAGACAGGGGCGCGGCGGCGGAAGGCAGCCACGGGAAGCCGGCGGGGAGGCCGGGACCGCCGGGACCGAUGGGUNNNNNNNNNNNNNNNNNNNNNNNNNNNNNNNNNNNNNNNNNNNNNNNNNNNNNNNNNNNNNNNNNNNNNNNNNNNNNNNNNNNNNNNNNNNNNNNNNNNNNNNNNNNNNNNNNNNNNNNNNNNNNNNNNNNNNNNNNNNNNNNNNNNNNNNNNNNNNNNNNNNNNNNNNNNNNNNNNNNNNNNNNNNNNNNNNNNNNNNNNNNNNNNNNNNNNNNNNNNNNNGUAGGGUCGCACGGAAUUCGAGGAGGGGGCUGUCUAAAUUAAGAGGGGGUCUAUAUAUAGACAAACAGGGGGGCUAGGUUAGCCGGAAUUUCGUUCUGGAUCCAACCGCGGGGUCGGAUUCGGACGAUUCCGAACGCGGGACGUGCUACGUGGCCGUGUUGUGUAGAUAUCCGGAGACGAGAGGGAGAACGGGCAGCACGGCAACGAAUUUUAAAACACCGACAAACGUCCGACAGUAGCCCAAAUACGGUGCCGCUACGGUCGACCGUUCGGGUACCAUACGGUCUCCGAUCGCGGCGGAAUUCGACAGGCGGUCUGGCUAUAUAUAAAUAAUACCGCACGACAAAUUCCAGCUCAAUCGGAGAAAGUUUUACGCACGCUUUAAAAACAGGGUUUCGACGGUGCCGCGGGCGCGUGCGAGUGCGGUCGGGCUCAGAACGGACAACGACGAUAACCGGCAACUAACAACGGAUGCAAGUUUUGAAAACGGGCAGCAAUGGAGACGCCGAUGCAAUGCAGAUGAUGCGCAUGAUGCGAUGAUGAUGCGACAAAUAAAAUAAGCCACACGACGAAAACGGAAAGAGAGGGGAAUCUUCUGGAACGUCGGCAUCGGGCUGUCACAGUUUAUUUCCGCAUUAGGUUCAAGCCAAAUCCGAAGAAGUUUUUAAAUAGCCUAUUCACCCCCCCCCCCCUCUAGGCGUCAUCGAGGUCUUUUCACCUGUCCUCGUCCGCAUGUUGAUCGCUUUGGUUUUUCCACCGCUGGUGCUGCUGUUCUUGAGCCGACUACUUAUCAUCAGGCUGUUGUUCAUCCUGAAUGACAGUUUGCGAUGGCAGAGGAGAUUGCUGCUCUUGAACGCACACGUACGUGGGAUCUUCUUUCCCUUCCUCCCGGAGUCCGUCCCAUCACUUGUAAGUGGGUCUACAAGGUUAAGACUCGCUCCGAUGGUUCUCUUGAGCGUCACAAAGCUCAUCUUGUGGCUCGUGGUUUUCAGCAGGAGCAUGGUCGUGAUUAUGACGAGACUUUUGCUCCUGUGGCUCAUAUGACCACUGUUCGUACACUUCUUGUCGUGGCCACUAUACGCCACUGGUCUAUCUCUCAGCUUCAUGUUAAGAAUGAUUUUCUUAAUGGUGAGAUGCGUGAGGAGGUGUACAUGCAGCCACCACCUAGGUAUUUUGUUCCUGAUGGCAUGGUAUGUCGUCUUCGUCGCUCUCUAUGGCCUUAAGCAAGCCCCCCCGCGCCUGGUUUGAGCGUUUUGCCUCUGUGGUUACUGCCACUGGUUUUUCAGCCAGUGCUCAUGAUCCAGCAUUGUUUAUUCACCUUUCUCCUCGUGGUCGGACUCUUCUUCUUCUCUAUGUUGAUGACAUGGUCAUCACUGGGGACGACCCCGAGUAUAUUGCCUUUGUCAAGGCCCGUCUUAGUGAGCGGUUCCUUAUGUCUGAUCUUAGACCUCUUCGCUACUUUCUUGGGAUUGAAGUCUCUUCUACCUCUGAUGCCUUUUUUAUAUCCAAGGAAAAGUAUAUCCAUGAUCUUCUUGCUCGUGCUGCUCUUACUGAUGAGCGCAUUGUCGAGACUCCUAUGGAGCUCAAUGUUCACCUCUGUGCUACUGAUGGUGAUCCCCUGCCUGACCCGACGCGUUAUCGUCAUCUUGUUGGCAGUCUUGUUUAUCUAGCUGUCACUCGUCCGGAUAUCUCUUAUCCGGUUCAUAUUCUGAGUCGGUUCAUCUCUGCUCGCACAUCGGUUCACUAUAGUCAUCUCCUCCGUGUUCUCCGAUAUCUUCGGGGCACGAUCUCUCACCGUCUAUUCUUUCCUCGCUCCAGUUCUCUACAGCUUCAGGCCUAUUCGGAUGCUACGUGGGCUAGUGAUCCUUCCGAUCGUCGUUCACUUUCUGCUUACUGUGUUUUUCUUGGUGGUUCUCUCAUUGACUGGAAGACAAAGAAAUAGAUUGCAGUUUUCUGUUUGAGUGCAGAGGUUGAGUUGCGAGUGAUGGCUCUUUUGACGGCAGAGGUGACUUGGUUACGGUGGUUACUUCAGGAUUUUGGUGUUUCUGUCACUACACCGACUCUGCUCUUAUCUGACAGUACAUGUGCUAUUAGCAUUGCGCGCGAUCCUGUGAAGCAUGAGCUUACCAAGCAUAUUGGUGUUGAUGCUUUCUAUGUGCGCGCCGGUGUGUAGGAUCAGGUUAUUGCUCUUCAGUAUGUGCCUUCCGAGUUACAGUUGGCGGAUUUCCUGACGAAGGCCCAGACUAGAGCACAACAUGGCUUUUAUCUCUCCAAACUCAGUGUUGUUCAUCUACCAUGAGUUUGAGGGGGGUGUUAGAGUUAUAAUAUAAGUCAUGUACCCUUUUGUAUUUAUCCCAAUGUAUAAGGGGUUUCCUGCAUAUAGUCCACCACCUGUACAUGUAUAUAUACCGGUCUAUGGCCUCAUGGGAAUAUAAGUUGCUUAUUCCUAACACGUAGCACCUACCAACGAGGCAUGACUCAGCGUAACACCUGUCGGCCAGGCAUGAUUUGACAGUUCCACCAAAUCUUCGGGCCAGACGAAGCCGCUCCAUCUCCUGCCUCUGUCAUCCAACGCUGCUCCACAAACGAUGCUCCCAAGAGAGAAACGACACCGCAGUACCGCCAUCGUCCGAUCUGGAAAGUCAGAUCUUAGGGUUUCCCCCGAAGCAGUGCCCACCACCAGCAAUUGUCCAGGACCCACAUAGUGCCCACCACCACUCAGCCCUCAAGGCGAUGCCUUCAGUAAGGUCACGGCGUCAAGGACGCUGCCGCCGCCCACCGGAGUUAGGGUUUUCACCCAAGAGGCAGGGAGGUAGGAAGUGGAGGAGCGACGUAGACCGACGUCUCCAGGAAGAACAACGGCGCCCUUGAGCGUCGUUGUCGGCGCGGCCCACCAGGGCCGACCAAUGGAUUUCCCCUUAUCUGAAUCUCCUCCACCAGCUUCAUCUGCGGCCAUGCCGGCAACGCCAAGAAACCACAGGAGAGAAGCACACCGCGCGUAUGUGGAUCAAUGAAGAUCCAAUCUGAACAAUGACGAGUACCAUCACCCUGCACUGGCCGACGGCGUCCGGGCGCCGGAUCCAGAAGGAUCUGACCCGAACUCGACGACGAACGCGACCACCAUGUCUUGCCCCUCCUGCAGCCGCCACACCGCGCCGCAAGAAUGAACCCCCAGCCCUCGACGCGCUCCUCACGCCGCCGCUAGGAUCCACAUGCCGCAUCGCCGCACCGCACGCUAGUCCGUCGUCUCCUCACGGACGGUCGUCCCGCGCCAGCCAUGUCGCGUGAAGGGGAGAUGAUCCCCGCCGCCGCCCGUGCCGGCCAAGCUUUGCCUGGCGGCGCUGCUGGCGGCGGCAAGGAUGAAGGAGGAGUGAGGGAGAACCGGCGGUGGCGGCUAGGGUUACCCCCUGGUCGCCCACAGGGGCGACGGGAGGUGGCGGGAGGGACUUAUGUAGUGGAGGCGCCCGUCGGCGAGGUACGACACCGGUGAGAUCCGAUCUGGAGGUACGGGGGUCUCCUGUUGUAGAGGUACAGCCAUCUACAUAUUAAUUAUUAACAAACAACAAAGGGUGUUCAAUUAUUUCUUAUGGAUUAAUUAUUGGAGCCAGCAAUUACAGUAUCAUCAUAUUAUGUAGUAGUAAAUUGACAGAAUGUUUCCGCACAUAUCUCCCCCCUAUACAUAUCAAGCAUAGCAACCAGUUUUCUUCACCAUAGUUACAGCUCACAGCUAAUUAAUCAACUUCAAUUGCUGGUAGAAAAGAGCAGCAUUAUAUUAAUAUGUAGACGCGGUGGUUUUUAUUCUCUCUUCACAGCCUCGAGUGGUCUUGGUACUGGUCCAUGAACGAGUCGUUGAACUUCUUGAAGCUCGACAUGAUUGCCGGCAUGUCCUCCUCCGCAGGCAGGAUCGUUGUCCUCAGAUGGAACACCCUGCAAAUUGUUACAUGUCACAAAGUGGAAUCUUAUUACCGAGGAUGUCCUCAGAUGGAACACCCUGCAAAUUGUUACAUGUCACAAAGUGGAAUCUUAUUACCGAGGAAUGACAAGCGGUGAUUGGUUUCAGCAGUAACAUGUAUGAUGAUGAAUUGAUGAUGAUGAUCAGAAGGGCUGGUUUCCUAUAAUGGUUCAAUCAAGAUGGGAAUGGGCUGAUGUCACCCAUUUUGACACUGGCCCGGCACAAAUUUUCAAGUCCAAUGGGUCUUCUGGGUCGGCUUCGUGUGGUAACAGGGCCGGUGGAGCCGAUCACCAUCAGCCCAUUAGAAUGAGCAGGUCGACCCAGAUUUGGUUGCCCGGGGCUGUAGUAUGCCGUUAUGAUAGAACAUAUCUUUGCUAGGGUUGUUAGGCUUGUGCUUAUAGCAAUUUUUCAAACUAUUGGUCCAAGAUUGCUUUUGUUCCAGAUGCUAAAAGCAUCUCCAACAGCCGCGCUAUACUAGCGCCGCGUCGGCAAAAAGACAGUUUUAGCGCGCGCGCAACGCGGCGGGCAGCUCCAGCGGACGCGCAAAAACGGCACACGCGGCAUUUUCAGUUCAGCGCGCUGGCCGAAACGCAAUCGCGCGCCCCUUAUUUGCCGCGCCAGCUCCCGCGCUCGCCCCUCCACUCUCGCGCGCUCGCUCCCCACUUCCACCCCCUUCUGGNNNNN